GCCCAAGGCUGAUCCUGGAGUUGGGAAAGAAAUCACUCCUCCCCAUCUCAUGAGUUCAUGCCUCCACACACCCAUGCUAUCCCCAGGCCCCCUGGGGCCUGAUCAAGAGGCUCAGGUACACUGAUGCAGAGCCCAGCAAGUCAGCUGAGGUCCUGAGGCCUCUCUCCCGCCUGCAUUUUGCUUCGUGCAAGCUGGUGCAGGGGUGGGGGGUGCACUGGAUCAGCAAACUCACCUCCUUCAGCUGCUCCAGCUCCUGCUUGAGGCCAUCGUAUUCAGCCUCCAGCUCGUCAUACUGCUGCUUCAGGGAAAUGAGCAUUGCCUGCCAAAUUGCCUCCAUGGUCCCUACCCUGAGACAGCAUCGCCCCAAGGUUCAGGACUCUUCACUUGCAUGGAAAAAAAAAUCAGGGAGAGCAUUAUAAUACACACAGAGGAAUAGCCUGUUAUGAA